UGGAACUCCUCCAAACAUAUUCCUGGGAGUCAAUAGGUGGGACUUUCCAUCUUGCAAUACCUGAAGUGAGAGAACAUGAUGAAGUCCUCUGAGACGAUGUAGAAUCGGAUGAUUAUGCGUAUUGUUAACAACAGGAGAAAUACAUGCGCACUUACUUCAAGUUGUGAAUAAAAGUUCCUAGAAUAUAAUCAAAGAUCCAUUCCUAUGGUAUCAACAUUAAAACACUGAUAAAUAUCAUCAAAACUUGGUAUCAUGAUGAAAUACAGUAACAUUUUUCUUUGUUUUCUUUGUUAACAUACAUAUUCUGAAUAUCAAUUACGUACACUGCGAUCUUUUGGCUUGUGUUCUUCAGAAUAAAACCAUUACUGCUAUAAGAUCAAGGAAUUUGGGAAAAAUCUAUAUUCCUCUUAUUUCAUCUGAAAGAAUAAAACAAAAAAAGAAGUGAAAAGCCUAUGAAUUAUAAACAGGCUGAUAUUUUUUAUUUUACAGAUUCUGCCAGAUGGAGACAUCCCUAGUAAGCGUAAAACCUAGAGUGGUUCAUCCUCAGUAUCCAAAUCAGACAAGAAAAUUUAAUAAACCAAAACAACACAUUAAUGAAUUUCGACGCACAAAUUAAAAUUGUAUAGCCCCAAGUAUCUCUCUAUUUUCAAUUAACAUAACAGAAGAAGGACAUCAUUGAUAAACGAAACAGAAGAAAGUGUAAAGAGCAACAUACAGACAAAGCAGAGGAGCUAACCAAGGCGAAACCCACAGGUGUGGGCUAAUCUGGAAGAAAGAAGCUAUAGCGAUUUGCGAAAACGAUUAGUAGCAUCGACGGAAACGACAAUUUAGGAAAUCAAAACGGGUGUAGUUAGCCAUCGCCAAAGAGAAGAUUCUGAAGAAAAAGAUGAACGGGGUAAAUGAUAAAAGUAAAAAAAAAAAUCAAUUGAUCUAGGCAUAUCAUCAAACAUUCUCCGUGCAUCAGUGUUAUAAUACGAGGCUUGCAUGUGAAACUCCGGCAACAAAAUGUCCCAAAGAACAUAGGAAGAACCAGAUGCUCAACAAAAUCCCGUUAGCAGCAGGGUACAUAAAAGAAAAGAAGCAACAAGAAGUAUAGAAAAAUUCGCCACGACAAUAAUGCACAUACCAAAGACAACAUAAAUCUGGAAUUGAGAAAUUUAGGCAUAUUGAAAAGAAAUCGUCAGAUCCCAUUAGUAAUUAAAAGGUAUAAAAAGAUCAAGACUAAAUUUACAGUGCCAACCAGGAUAAAUUAACUUCAUUAAGGAAGACAUGCAACAGAGAAUACCAUUCAGUCAAAAUCACAAAACAGUAAACCCAGAUUCAUAUCAAGGUAUAACGAAGACAUGCAACAGAGAAUACUAUUCAGUUAAAAUCACAAAACAGUAAACCCAGAAAUUUACAUUGAUAAUUGAAACAUAGACAUGGCUAAAGGAACAGAAGAAAUCGAAAAUUAACCUUUGAAAUCCACCAAAAAUAAAGCAAAAAAAAAAAGAAAGAGGACGAAGAAGAAGAACCCAUAGGGAGAGCUGAGCAAAGAAACCAAAAGGUUCUCCUCUCAAAUUCAAUAGCUUCCGAAGAAAAAAGUGAAGGUUUAAUAGAUGAGAAAGAGCAAUUUCAAGCAAAAUCAGUCGAGAAGGAGAACUAAGAAUCGGAUUCGUUUAUGCUAAUGAAGAAAUUGUAAAAAUAUCGAGUAGCUUCUGGUACUCAAUACUCGAUCAAGGAAGGAAAGGAUGUAAUU
rnacentral:lncRNA from 1 species